GCGAGCGUAGUUCAACGGUAGAACGGUUGCUUUAUUUUUCCCUCGUUUAGGUACCCCAAAACUACUAUGCAGAUGCAGGUCCGACUCCUGUCGCUCACG
rnacentral:tRNA from 1 species